UCAAAAUUUAAAAAUGAGCCAGGCACAGACUGGUGCACAGACCGUAUUUAUAAAAUCAUUGGACUGGUGUUCGAGAAAAUCUAUUUAUAGAAGCACGUCAUAAACCAGGAAUUCCCGUUCGAAUUUGCUAGGGAAAUUACAUCGAAGCAUCGAAAGUCGUAAGUGGAUCCAUAUCCUUCCUUUGUCCUGUCCAUCCCAGUUCCAGAUUGUUUAAAACAAGAAGACGCUACUCACAAACGACAUUUACAGACUGUUCUACAGGUUUUCAAGAAACAUAGAUCUAGAUCUAGAUCUAGAUCUCUAGAUUUGGACUCUGGAAGUCAAAGACUGAUUCACCGUUCGAAACUGUGCCCAGCUGACAGCAUUAUUUUCUACAUCCAAGGCUUGGACUCGAAAGCGACCCUUGGAGGUUCUAUGGUUCUAUGGACCGAAGAAUCCAUAUAACGAACAUGGGGAAUUUUUUCGGUCUUCCUGAAAAUGACAACAACGACGACAGAGAAAGAAGAGAGGAGAGCAACGGAGGAG